UACGUAGGGAGCAAGCGUUGUCCGGAAUCAUUGGGCGUAAAGCGCGCGUAGGCGGCCUCGUAAGUCCGUUGUGAAAGUCAAAGGCUCAACCUUUGAAAGCCGAUGGAUACUGUGAGGCUAGAGUCCGGAAGAGGCGAGUGGAAUUCCUGGUGUAGCGGUGGAAUGCGCAGAUAUCAGGAGGAACACCGAUAGCGAAGGCAGCUCGCUGGGACGGUACUGACGCUGAGACGCGAAAGCGUGGGGGAGCAACAGG
rnacentral:rRNA from 1 species